rnacentral:tRNA from 1 species
AUUGUUUUGGCAGAUUAGUGCGUUAAAUUUAGAAUUUAUUAAAGUGAUUAAUAUUACAUUCAAUA